GACGAACGCUGGCGGCGCGCCUAACACAUGCAAGUCGAGCGAUGAAAUUUUAACCGAUCUCUUCGGAGAGAAGAUAAAAUGGAUUAGCGGCGGACGGGUGAGUAACACGUGAGAAACCUGCCUUUCACAAGGGGAUAGCCUCGGGAAACCGGGAUUAAUACCCUAUGACACAUUUCCUUCGCAUGGAAGAAAUGGUAAAACUCCGGUGGUGAAAGAUGGUCUCGCGCCUGAUUAGCUAGUUGGUGGGGUAACGGCCCACCAAGGCCAUGAUCAGUAACCGGCCUGAGAGGGUGAACGGUCACAUUGGAACUGAGACACGGUCCAAACUCCUACGGGAGGCAGCAGUGGGGAAUAUUGCAAAAUGGAGGAAACUCUGAUGCAGCGACGCCGCGUGAGCGAUGAAGGCUUUCGAGUCGUAAAGCUCUGUCCUAUGGGAAGAUAAUGACGGUACCAUAGGAGGAAGCCCCGGCUAACUACGUG
rnacentral:rRNA from 1 species